rnacentral:snRNA from 1 species
UUGGCCUUUUGGCUAAGAUCAAGUGUAGUAUCU